rnacentral:rRNA from 1 species
AACGAACGCUGGCGGCAUGCCUAACACAUGCAAGUCGAACGAGACCUUCGGGUCUAGUGGCGCACGGGUGCGUAACGCGUGGGAAUCUGCCCUUUGCUUCGGAAUAACACAGAGAAAUUUGUGCUAAUACCGGAUAAUGUCGCAAGACCAAAGAUUUAUCGGCAAAGGAUGAGCCCGCGUAAGAUUAGGUAGUUGGUGGGGUAAUGGCCUACCAAGCCGACGAUCUUUAGCUGGUCUGAGAGGAUGAUCAGCCACACUGGGACUGAGACACGGCCCAGACUCCUACGGGAGGCAGCAGUGGGGAAUAUUGGACAAUGGGCGAAAGCCUGAUCCAGCAAUGCCGCGUGAGUGAUGAAGGCCUUAGGGUUGUAAAGCUCUUUUACCCGGGAUGAUAAUGACAGUACCGGGAGAAUAAGCUCCGGCUAACUCCGUGCCAGCAGCCGCGGUAAGUGCGACGACA